AUACUUACCUGGCAGGGGCAAUACCAUGAUCAAGACGGUGGUUUGCCCAAAGCGAGGCUCAGCCAUUGCACUCAGGCUGUGUUGACCUUUGCGAAUUCCCCAAAUGUGGGAGUCUCAACUGCAUAAUUUCUUAUAGUGGGGAACUGCGUUCGCGCUCUCCCCUG